rnacentral:misc_RNA from 1 species
UUUCCGUAGGUGAACCUGCGGAAGGAUCAUUACUGAGUUAGUUUCGAAAGGAACGAUCUCCCACCCUUUGUUUAAUGAAUCUGUUGCUUUGGCGAGUCCGCCGCAAGGCUGUCGACGCAAGUGGACAAGUACUCGCCAAAGAUCUAAACUCGAUAAACUGCUGUCUGAGAAUUUAUUUAAAAAACUAAAAACUUUCAACAACGGAUCUCUUGGUUCUGGCAUCGAUGAAGAACGCAGC